rnacentral:rRNA from 1 species
GACGUAGGGCGCGAGCGUUGUCCGGAUUUAUUGGGCGUAAAGCGCGCGCAGGCGGUUUCUUAAGUCUGAUGUGAAAGCCCCCGACUCAACCGGGGAGGGUCAUUGGAAACUGGGAAACUUGAGUGCAGAAGAGGAAAGUGGAAUUCCAAGUGUAGCGGUGAAAUGCGCAGAUAUCAGGAGGAACACCGGUGGCGAAGGCGCCACUCUGGGCCGGUACUGACGCUGAGGAGCGAAAGCGUGGGUAGCAAACAGG